UUAUUGGUGGUCAAACAAAGAAACAGGUGG
rnacentral:piRNA from 1 species